rnacentral:tmRNA from 1 species
GGGGCUGACUGGAUUUGACAGGAAAUGAUAUCGGUAAGUAAGCAUGCCGUAGGAUGAUCGUCUAACUACGUAAAUCCACACGAUCAAACAACAAUUGGCGACUACAAUUACGCCUUGGCAGCCUAAUUCUAGGAGUUAGAAUGCCUUUAUGCCGUACGUUUGAUUCCUGAUACACAAUGUACCGCGUAUAACAAACCCGCAGGAUAGCUUGAGCGACCGUUCCGACGCUUGGGCGAAAUAAAGGAAACCGGAUAACUGCACGUCUGUUUAAGAGCCGGCAGUUGUCUUAAAAUCAAAUCUUAAUCUAAGCAUGUAGAAAGCUUAUGGGUACUUUCUCUGGACCCGGGUUCGACUCCCGGCAGCUCCACUA